AUUGAACACUGGCGGCAUGCCUUACACAUGCAAGUCGAACGGCAGCACGGGAGCAAUCCUGGUGGCGAGUGGCGAACGGGUGAGUAAUAUAUCGGAACGUGCCCAGUCGUGGGGGAUAACGCAGCGAAAGCUGUGCUAAUACCGCAUACGAUCUACGGAUGAAAGCGGGGGAUCGCAAGACCUCGCGCGAUUGGAGCGGCCGAUAUCAGAUUAGCUAGUUGGUGAGGUAAAGGCUCACCAAGGCGACGAUCUGUAGCUGGUCUGAGAGGACGACCAGCCACACUGGAACUGAGACACGGUCCAGACUCCUACGGGAGGCAGCAGUGGGGAAUUUUGGACAAUGGGCGAAAGCCUGAUCCAGCAAUGCCGCGUGCAGGAUGAAGGCCUUCGGGUUGUAAACUGCUUUUGCACGGAACGAAACGGUGAGCUCUAAUACAGUUUGCUAAUGACGGUACCGUAAGAAUAAGCACCGGCUAACUACGUGCCAGCAGCCGCCGUAA
rnacentral:rRNA from 1 species